GUUCUGAGGGAGGAACCAUAGUGCCAUCAGACUGGGACCUGAAGUGGGGGUGGGGGGGGAGGGCCUGGCCUGCCUGCUGCAGGGGGCUGGAUCAGCAACUCCCCCGACACAGCACCGGAGAGUCUGGUGGCUUGGGGUUAAGUCCUGCUUCUGCCCUGUACUCCCUGGGAACACUGCACACAGAAAAACUUCUCACUUCUGGACCUCAGCUUCUUAAACCUCUGCCCAUGCCCAUUUUACAGAUGGUGAAACUGAGGCACCUGCAGCGAGGAGGCCCUUGCCUAGGGUUCCCAAACCAUGUGAAUGAUGGCAGAUUGGAAUCCAGCAUGCCUCAGCCUCCAGGAGCUGCAAGUUACGCCACAGCUGCAACAACACCAGAUCCUAAACCUGUUGCACUGGACCAGGGAUCAAACUCAUGCCUCCACAGAGACAAGCUGGAUCAUAAACUCACUGUGCCAGAGCGGGAGCUCUUUUUUUUUUCUUUCUUUCUUUAAAGACUGACUCUACGAAUGACUCUGGAAAUUAUAUAGGGGUGGAUUGUCCAUCCGCAGAUUUUGUUUCAGGACAGCUGAGUGGGGCCAUGAAAUGUGUUAGUGCCCCGGUGGGCCUCUGCCUGCCCUCUUCGGCAGGGUUGGGUCUCACUUGUGCCUCAGCUUGUGGCUUUCUUUCCCUUUGAGAGUCAGCUAAAAGUCAAGGGCAGACUCCCCAGGGAAAGGGGCCAUGUGCUUAAUAACUGGUGCUGGGCUAGAUGCCUACCAUGUGCACUGUGAUGUGGGGACACAGUCCCCACGUGGUAGCUUACGGUGAAAUGGCCCGCCUGUAGCUGGGAUGUGGUGGGGUGUGGCCUGAACCUGAGUCUCAGCCUGCCUUGCGUUCUCUCAGCUCCACCACUGGCAAUGCCAGGCCCCCACUGCCUGCCCAUGGUCCUGACCCAGGCUGGAGCCCUGCUUACCCGGAACCUUUUCCGCAGCAUGCUGUUGAGGGCAAAGUCGUCCUUCCAGGCAUUCUGGGCCUCCUGGAUGUGGCUCAGGGUGGGGAGGGCCUUCUUGAGCGUGCUCCGGUCGGCCUCGCCGUGCUCCAGGCGGUACAUGGCAUCUGUCUCCAGCUUCUGCUUCUUCUCGUGCUCUGCAAGGCAAGAAUGUGGCUAGGCCUUCGGUGCCCUGGCUAAGGGCUGGGGUUGGGGGUCAGAGCCUAGCUGCGGUGCUCACCUGUCGUCAGCACCUGCUCAUUGUCUGCCAUAUCCCAGCGUUCCUCCUUGCGCUGGGCGCCGCUCACAAUCACAUAGUCACAGUUGGCGGGGUCUGUCUGCAUCUCGAUGUAGUUGACACAGAGGUGGCAUUUCAUCCGGAAUCUGGGAGGGUGGAGAGUGGUGGGCAUGAGUCAGGACACUGUCCGUCCCAGAACGCCCUGUGACCCCUGCCUGCUCCCAUCCAUGCAUGUCAUCAACAAGCAUUUAAGGAACACCUACUACACACUGGGCACUGCAUCUGGGGCUAUAGUCAUGGGUGAGAUAGAUAUGGUUCUGUCACCCCAGAAUUGACUUUUUUUUCCCCUUUUCUGGCCAUCCUAUGACAUAUGGAGUUCCCAGGCCAGGAAUUAAAUCCAAGCUGGAGUCGUGACCUAUGCCACAGCUACAGCAAUGCUGGAUCCUUAACCCACUGGGCCGGGCUGAGGAUCGAACCCUGUCCCUGCUGCUGCAGAGGCACCACUGAUCCCGUUGAGCCACAGCGGGAACUCUCCAGCACUGACUUUUUGUAUGGACCUUGUUCAUUUGUUCAUUCAUGCACUCGUUUGUUCGCUCAUUCAUUCAUUCAAUAAAUCCUCCCGACCUAGGCUCCUCUA